rnacentral:rRNA from 1 species
UAGGGAAUCUUCCACAAUGGGCGCAAGCCUGAUGGAGCAACACCGCGUGAGUGAAGAAGGGUUUCGGCUCGUAAAGCUCUGUUGUUAAAGAAGAACACGUAUGAGAGUAACUGUUCAUACGUUGACGGUAUUUAACCAGAAAGUCACGGCUAACUACGUGCCAGCAGCCGCGGUAAUACGUAGGUGGCAAGCGUUAUCCGGAUUUAUUGGGCGUAAAGAGAGUGCAGGCGGUUUUCUAAGUCUGAUGUGAAAGCCUUCGGCUUAACCGGAGAAGUGCAUCGGAAACUGGAUAACUUGAGUGCAGAAGAGGGUAGUGGAACUCCAUGUGUAGCGGUGGAAUGCGUAGAUAUAUGGAAGAACACCAGUGGCGAAGGCGGCUACCUGGUCUGCAACUGACGCUGAGACUCGAAAGCAUGGGUAGCGAACAGGAUUAGAUACCCUGGUAGUCCAUGCCGUAACGAUGAGUGCUAGGUGUUGGAGGGUUUCCGCCCUUCAGUGCCGGAGCUAACGCACUAAGCACUCCGCCUGGGGAGUACGACCGCAAGGGU